AUACCUUUCUCGGCCUUUUGGCUAAGAUUAAGUGUAGUAUUUGUUCUUAUCAGUUUAAUAUCUGAUGUGUGGGUCAUUGACCCAUACGAUAUUAAGAUCUUUUUUGAGGGGAAAGUUCACCACGGUAGCUUGCUAUCGGGGCCUUCAAGCAUUGACAUGGCAUUGCACUAUUGUCUUGGCCUUGUGUACCUCAC
rfam:Capsicum annuum cultivar Zunla-1 chromosome 7, whole genome shotgun sequence